UUGUAUCCAAUAAUGUUUUUGAUUGAUUCUCAAGAUUCAUGAUGAAUUAGCCUUAGAUAUUGCUUGAUCUGUAAUGUACGUAGAAAGAGCUUUCAUUUGGUAUAGAUAUUGCCUGAUUCUGGAAUUUUUUUUGCAUGAAGUUACUGUUCCUCCACCGUCUUCAUGAAGAAGACGGUGGUUUCCGCCUUGCCUCGCCGCCUGGAAUAGUGCCAGCAACAGUGCAUGCGCCUAGGGUUUUCAGAGAUGAAACGACGCCGUUUUGGUCCAAAUGCGCGACCUACUUCGAU
rnacentral:lncRNA from 1 species